AAAAUCCGUCGACUUUAGAAAUCGUGAGGGUUCAAGUCUAUCCCCA
rnacentral:tRNA from 1 species